AUUUGCAUCGUUUCUUGGCCAGGGCUGGCCAGGGUUUCGCAGACAUUUUCUCUGCUGAAGUCCUGUCUCCAGUACACACGCACCUCGGCGCCUAGCAUAAGGGAUGAAAGGGCUGACAGAGCGUUGAGGUUGUCUGUCCGGUGGCGCGCUACCUUCUUUCAAGAAUUCUUAGAUCCAUCCGCUCCCACCGUCGCUGUGCUCUAGCAGGUUCGAUAAGGCGGUGACUGGGGAAAUCAAGGCAGGCUCUGCUCUGCACCACGCCAAGGCCCCACUGCAAGGGAGGGAAGGCCAACCUGACCCCCUCGAUUGCCUCUCUCUUCUGAGGCUGCAGCACCGGGCAGGACCGACGCAGCAGGACCCCUCCAGGGGUUCCCAGGCAAGGAGGAGACACCAAGGAGUGACCGAUAUAAGCUCCUGGACCAAGGUCCCUACUCGAUGGGGCUCAAGUGCGGUCCGCCGACCACCUAUUUCGUAAACAACGUUUAAAAAUUGUACCAAAGUCCGUUCUCAAGACUUACUCCUCCGAGAUGGAGAAAUAUGAAAAAAUUGGGAAGAUUGGAGAAGGCUCCUACGGGGUGGUGUUCAAGUGCAGAAACAGGGACACGGGUCAGAUCGUGGCCAUCAAGAGGUUUCUGGAAACUGAAGAUGACCCUGUCGUAAAGAAAAUCGCCCUGAGAGAAAUCCGCAUGCUCAAGCGACUCAAGCAUCCCAACCUUGUCAACCUCCUGGAGGUCUUCCGGAAGAAGCGGAGGCUUCACCUGGUGUUCGAGUAUUGCGACCACACAGUGCUUCACGAGCUGGACAGAUACCAGCGAGGGGUACCAGAGCAUCUCAUGAAGAGCAUAACUUGGCAGACACUGCAGGCUGUAAAUUUCUGUCAUAAGCACAACUGCAUACACAGAGACGUGAAGCCAGAAAACAUUCUCAUCACGAAACACUCAGUCAUUAAGCUCUGUGACUUUGGGUUUGCACGGCUUCUCACUGGGCCAGGUGACUACUACACAGACUACGUGGCCACCAGGUGGUACCGCUCGCCUGAGCUGCUGGUGGGAGACACACAGUAUGGCCCCCCAGUCGAUGUCUGGGCGAUUGGCUGCGUCUUUGCUGAGCUGCUGUCUGGAGAGCCUCUGUGGCCGGGGAAAUCUGACGUGGAUCAGCUCUAUCUGAUAAGGAAAACCCUGGGGGAUCUCAUUCCCAGGCACCAGCAAGUAUUUAGCAUGAAUCAGUACUUCAGUGGGGUGAAAAUUCCAGACCCUGAAGAUAUGGGCAUUACCAGCACCGGGGAAAGUGGGUCACGCUGGUCCGGCAUGGAGAGGCAAGCUCAGCACCUGGCUUAUGGGAAGCGACCCACUGGCUCCCUUGUGACCUGGACAUCCCCGGUUCUGCACCAAAUAUCCCUUAGCAAUUUCCUGGCUAAUUGUCUGCUGGUGAAGUUUCAGAAAUAGCCCCGGCUCUAUGAAUGAGAAGCGCCACUCCUGAUUCCCAGGGGUUGUCCUGCAAGGGAUUUCCUGUUGACAGAAACACAGGAAGCAGCAGCACCGGGCUGUGCUGGUUGAACAUCUGUGCUCUCUCCCUCUCCUGGUCGGGAACCCUGCCUAGCCAGGCCGGCUGCCUGCUGGGGCUGGGGAACUGGUUCAGCAGGCUGGAGGGACCUGGUGUAUUCCAGUCAAUGCUGGUUACCCUACACAUUGUUCCUGAGAUAGGAGGGCUGACUUUAGCAGUGACGAGUGCAGCAUUCCUUACAUUAGAUAAAUACACAGAAAGAGCGAUUUAUGCGGGGUCCAAAACUGCACUCUCAACGACUAAGACAAGGAUACAUUACCCCCCACCCCCUCCAUCUUGUUAAAUGGAGGCACUUCCUUUUGCGGUUAUUAGCAUGUGUGCAGUUGAGAAUUUGUGUUGAGGCAGGCGCCCAGUUUAAAAUCACACUGCCCGGAAGCUCUGAACUACAGCCCAGCCCCAUGCGCGCCUGCCUGCAGCUCACACUACCAUAUUCACCCACAAUGCACUGCGGACACUGAUUCUGUUGCGCUUCCAUCGUCAAUUAGCAUCAAUUAGGGUCAGUUUCAGUGGGCAGCUCCUCACCUAUUCACAGCAGUCCUCUAUCUCGGGUAUCACUCUCAGCCCAGCUACGGGCUAGGGAUUGGGGAGAGGGAGAUGAGAGCCUGUUGGGGAGACUCUAAACCGCGGGCUGAUGAGAGAAACAGCAGGCACUUGUGGGAGUGACCACCGUGUUUAUUCCAGAAAUCCAAUAAGCAUGAGCUCAUCUGAUUAGGGAUAAAAUGUAUUUUGAAGUUCCCUUUAUAGAAAUGUCAAUAAAUGCAAUAAUUAGUGCCCACUUUGAUAGUGCUGUUAAUUUAAGGGCCAAAAAUUGUCAGGAAAGACAUUUUAUACAAAACAAGGCAAAACCCAAAACAAAAGCAACAACAGCAAAAACAAACAAACAAAGCAAAACAAAAAACAAAUAAACAAAAAAUCCAAAACCCUAAAACUAAUAACUUGGCAUGUGCAUUGUUGCUGCUGUUCUCACUCUCGUCCAGUGGUGUUUACUUACAAUGCUACCUUCUUCAGGAAGUGAGUGAUUAGGAAACAAAACUGGAGUGGCAUUCUGGAGGUGAAGGGAGAAAGGGCUUAUGGAGUCACAGGAGGCUAUUCCUGGUAGGAGGCAGAGUGGAAAAGGGUGGAGGAGGCAAGGAAGAUGCCAGGAAGAAAUCUAGUGUGAGGUAACUUUAAUCAAAAUGUAUGCUGUCGAUUAAAAGUCCCUUUUUCUUUUUGACAGGAAACCCUUGAGUUGAAAUUUCCAAACAUCUCCUAUCCUGCCCUGAGCUUCUUAAAGGGCUGCCUCCACAUGGACCCUGCUGAGAGAUUGACAUGCGAACAGCUGUUGCAACAUCCGUACUUUGACAGCAUUCAAGAUGCUGGGGAUCU